AUGGCAUGCUUUGCGGGUAGGAUUGAGGCGAACGAUGCUACUCAGAUUUGGAGAUCCAGGGCGUUGGCCACUUGCAAGGUCUUUGUAUGGCUUGCUGCACGGAACAUAUGUUGGACGGCAUAUAGACUCCAAAGACGUCACUUGCCUCACCCAUCUGCAUGUCCUUUUUGUGAUCAAGCCCAGGAGACCAUUGACCACUUGCUGUUGGGGUGUGUGUUUGCUAGGCAAGUUUGGUCACGUAUUACCAGUGAGUGGGGAAAGCCCUCUUGGAUGCCUACGGCAGACGCUAACUUGGUGCAAUGGCGGACCGCUCUCACUCUGCAGAAGUAGCUAAGGAAGGAGAUUUGGACGGUGGUCACCCUUGUGGCAUGGACGAUCUGGAGACACAGGAAUGACAUAGUGUUCAAUGGUGCUUCCCCCUCGGCGGAUGUAGUGCUUAGGAGGAUUGACAAGGAGGGGCAGGACUGGAGGGCCGCGAGUUUGCUACGUGAGCACGGCUCUUUGCCACGUAGAGUAGUGAGGUUGGAUAUCAGCGAGUGA
rnacentral:rRNA from 1 species